CCAGACUCCUACGGGAGGCAGCAGUGGGGAAUAUUGCACAAUGGGGGAAACCCUGAUGCAGCGACGCCGCGUGUGGGAAGACAGUCCUCUGGAUUGUAAACCACUGUCCCCAGGGACGAAGAUGACGGUACCUGGGGAGGAAGCUCCGGCUAACUACGUGCCAGCAGCCGCGGUAAUACGUAGGGGGCGAGCGUUAUCCGGAUUUACUGGGUGUAAAGGGAGCGUAGACGGUUAAUCAAGUCUGAAGUGAAAGCCCGCGGCUCAACUGCGGAACGGCUUUGGAAACUGAGUAACUGGAGUGCUGGAGGGGCAGGCGGAAUUCCUGGUGUAGCGGUGAAAUGCGUAGAUAUCAGGAGGAACACCGGUGGCGAAGGCGGCCUGCUGGACAGUAACUGACGUUGAGGCUCGAAAGCGUGGGGAGCAAACAGGAUUAGAUACCCCUGUA
rnacentral:rRNA from 1 species